rnacentral:rRNA from 1 species
GUGGAUUAGAUACCCUGGUAGUCCACGCCGUAGACGAUGAAUGCCAGCCGUUAGUGGGUUUACUCACUAGUGGCGCAGCUAACGCUUUAAGCAUUCCGCCUGGGGAGUACGGUCGCAAGAUUAAAACUCAAAGGAAUUGACGGGGGCCCGCACAAGCGGUGGAGCAUGUGGUUUAAUUCGACGCAACGCGCAGAACCUUACCAGCCCUUGACAUGUCCGGGACCGGUCGCAGAGACGUGACCUUCUCUUCGGAGCUCGGAACACAGGUGCUGCACGGCUGUCGCCAACU